rnacentral:rRNA from 1 species
UACGUAGGGUGCAAGCGUUGUCCGGAAUUAUUGGGCGUAAAGAGCUCGUAGGCGGUCUGUCGCGUCUGCUGUGAAAACUCGGGGCUUAACCCCGGGCCUGCAGUGGGUACGGGCAGACUAGAGUGCGGUAGGGGAGACUGGAAUUCCUGGUGUAGCGGUGAAAUGCGCAGAUAUCAGGAGGAACACCUAUUGCGAAGGCAGCUCGCUGGGACGUAACUGACGCUGAGACGCGAAAGCGUGGGGAGCAAACAGG